ensembl:rRNA 5S_rRNA 5S ribosomal RNA
GCUUACGGCCAUACCAACCUGGCUAUGCCCGAUCUCGUUUGAUCUCGGAAGCUAAGCAGGUUUGGGCCUGUUUAGUACUUGGAUGGGAGACCGCCUGGGAAUACCAGGUGCUGUAAGCU